rnacentral:lncRNA from 1 species
AACCACACAACAUCAACCGACCACAUACUCAAACCAACCAAACACCCAACAUCGCAACCCGUUCAUGCCAACCACCCAACAACGAACCAUCCAACGUCGCAAUCCCUUCAUACCACCCACCCAAACACAAAACCAAGAACCAAACCCCACAACCGCAACCGUCUACUCCCCCGAUGAUUCAUAUGAGUCACGUCAUCGUAGCCCCCCACCAUUUAACACCCAACCACU